rnacentral:rRNA from 1 species
AGUGGCGGACGGGUGAGUAACGCGUGGGUAACCUGCCUUAUACAGGGGGAUAACAGUCAGAAAUGGCUGCUAAUACCGCAUAAGACCACAGCACCGCAUGGUGCGGGGGUAAAAACUCCGGUGGUAUGAGAUGGACCCGCGUCUGAUUAGCUAGUUGGUAAGGUAACGGCUUACCAAGGCGACGAUCAGUAGCCGACCUGAGAGGGUGACCGGCCACAUUGGGACUGAGACACGGCCCAAACUCCUACGGGAGGCAGCAGUGGGGAAUAUUGCACAAUGGGGGAAACCCUGAUGCAGCGACGCCGCGUGAGCGAAGAAGUAUUUCGGUAUGUAAAGCUCUAUCAGCAGGGAAGAAGAUGACGGUACCUGACUAAGAAGCACCGGCUAAAUACGUGCCAGCAGCCGCGGUAAUACGUAUGGUGCAAGCGUUAUCCGGAUUUACUGGGUGUAAAGGGAGCGUAGACGGAUGGGCAAGUCUGAUGUGAAAACCCGGGGCUCAACCCCGGGACUGCAUUGGAAACUGUUCAUCUAGAGUGCUGGAGAGGUAAGUGGAAUUCCUAGUGUAGCGGUGAAAUGCGUAGAUAUUGGGAGGAACACCAGUGGCGAAGG